rnacentral:lncRNA from 1 species
CAUAAGGGUUGGGGCUCUACCGUAUGAAUCAUAGAGCUGUCUAAGAUUUGGGUUUUGAAAGGCUCGCCGAAGAAGGGGGCACACACGGACGUUCCAGCAAGCUUUAUUGGGGCGCAGUCUGCAGCCUGCGGGGCUGACUCACAGAAUGGAGACCAGCAGCUUCAUGGGCUCAGCUGGAAGCUUAUGCAGGUGUCUUGCAGGAGACAUCUGGAAUUAAUGGACCCAUCAUUAUCCUGA